AGGAGCAGCCCGCCCCCAGAGGACGUGGAAUGGCAAAUUAAAAAAAAAAAAGUGUUACAGGGACAGUGCAGGACAUCCUGAGCUAUUUUUAAGCAGCCUGACCUGCAGUUGAACCUCAAACAUGUGACUGUCAUGCCUCUUGCUGCGCUACAGGAUGUUUUUGUUGAACUGGAAUUUCAUUGUCCACAUAGCAACUUGGCUGGCUGGCCUCCCACGGCUGCUGCUUGCUGCUGCUGGCUGCUAGCCGCCCACCCGCCCCCCAUUAAUGGCUUCUUCUUGUGCAUCCUGCGUGAGCCAGACAGACAACGUGAAGCAUCUCGGGACAGAAGAAGCAGCUGAAAAGAGAUCAACAGGGAUGAACGCAGACCAGCGGAUCUGUGAGAAGGAGGUCUGCACCACUUUGGGUGGAGUCAUGGCCAACAUCAUUCAUGGCCAAUCAAAGCAGCUCCUUACAUUAUGUGUCGUGAACUCUUUGAGAACACCCUUACUCCUGAGCUCACUUCCUGUGGCUCUGGUCUUUCGAGAGCUGGGUGGCAGCCCAAGGUGGGGACCUUGACUUUCCAACCUGACCUGUUGGGACGAGGAACCUUAGCUGGUGUGCGAGGCAGAGAAGUUCUCUCCCAUCGUGUAGCCCUGGUCACUGAAAUUUGAAAAAAAAAAAAGUAAAAAUCUCCUGAAAAACAUGCGACAGCAUUGUAUUGUUUUCAAAUCAAUGAAGCUCAACUUGGAUCACGUCACAGUGUGUGUUGGCAUGUUGUGUCAACCAUGUUUCUACAUCUCUUUUCGGAGGGGUUGGGGGAGGGGGGGGUGCAGUUAGAGGAAGGGUUGUUGGCAGAACGGCAUUCCUCUCGCUCUUCUUUUCUGUUAUUUAGCCUGUGUAGUGUGACCCUGUGCCCCAUCGGGGGAGCCAUGUCCCAUUUGACAUCUGCCUGUUUGUUUGGGAAGGGAGGGUGAGGUUGCGGGGUUGCCCAUAUGGAACUUCAACCCCUCUCACCCCCCAACCCUGACAUGCACACACACGCACAUAUACAUGCACAUCUCCUGCUGCUUGCUCCCUUUGUCGUUCCAUGUCAUGCCAUUCCAGCACACGGGCCCGUUGCAAGCAAGCUGAAGUGGUCGCCUGCCAAUAUUAGGGCACAUGAAGAUCGACAAACAUUCACACUCCGAUUUCCACCUUUGGACAGUUAAGAGUUUUUGGUGAACCUAAAAAGCAUU